CACGGUGCUGCUGUGGACACG
rnacentral:miRNA from 1 species